rnacentral:rRNA from 1 species
AUUGAACGCUGGCGGUAUGCUUUACACAUGCAAGUCGAACGGAUUAAAGGGCUUGCUCUUUAGUUAGUGGCGAACGGGUGAGUAAUAUAUCGGAACAUAUCCGGAAGUGGGGGAUAACGUAGCGAAAGUUACGCUAAUACCGCAUAUGCCCUGAGGGGGAAAGGGGGGGAUCGCAAGACCUCUCGCUUUCGGAGUGGCCGAUAUCGGAUUAGCUAGUAGGUGAGGUAAAGGCUCACCUAGGCGACGAUCCGUAGCUGGUCUGAGAGGACGACCAGCCACACUGGAACUGAGACACGGUCCAGACUCCUACGGGAGGCAGCAGUGGGGAAUUUUGGACAAUGGGCGAAAGCCUGAUCCAGCCAUACCGCGUGAGUGAAGAAGGCCUUCGGGUUGUAAAGCUCUUUCAGCCGGAAAGAAAUCGCACUU